CGGGGCUUAAAGUCUUGUAAUUGGAAUGAUGGGAAUUUAAACCUCUUCCAGAGUAUCAAUUGGAGGGCAAGUCUGGUGCCAGCAGCCGCGGUAAUUCCAGCUCCAAUAGCGUAUAUUAAAAUUGUUGCAGUUAAAAAGCUCGUAGUUGAAUUUCUGCUGCAUCGCUGUGUCCCUUCGGGGUCUCUGCAUGUGGCUUAUUUCAGACUGAGUUUUCUUUGUCUGGAUGUUUACUUUGAGAAAAUUAGAGUGCUCAAAGCAGGCUUUUGCCUUGAAUAGUUUAGCAUGGAAUAAUAAAGUAGGACUUUGGUUCUAUUUUGUUGGUUUUAGGUACCAAAGUAAUGGUUAAUAGGAACAGUUGGGGGCAUUCGUAUUUAACUGUCAGAGGUGAAAUUCUUAGAUUUGUUAAAGACGAACUACUGCGAAAGCAUUUGCCAAGGAUGUUUUCAUUAAUCAAGAAC
rnacentral:rRNA from 1 species